AUGGUCGAAGCAGGCUUCAAGGAAGAAUUUGACGCGUAUGUGCGUAAUGCUGAGCUGGAGGACUUCUUACAAGAUAAGUGUCCUCGGUACUAUCAAUUGACUGACUCCUUUGUGCAGAGGUUCCAAUAUAUCUGUGCGCGUAAUUCUCCUAGUGUCAUGUUUGAUAUUUAUGAUACAUCUUAUACCAUGGAUUUAGAGGAUUUCACAACUGCUUGCAAACUCCCGCAGUGGGGUAAUAUUAAUGAUCCUCGUAAAUCUGAAUUUAGAGAUUUUCUUGCUAGUAUUACUAUGGGAGAAUCUAGGGACAUAGCACAAGCUACCAUAGGGAGCAUUCAUUUUCCUGCUAUACAUUAUUUUGCUCUCUUUAUUGGUAGAUGCAUUAACGGUAAGGACGAAGCUUGUCACAUGUGUGUCCCUGAUCUGUGUGUCCUCAAGAGUGUUGUUUCAGGUUAUAAAGGUUAUAACUUGGGGGCAAUAGGUUCACGUAGGUUGCAGAAUAAUAGUAGUGUAGGGGAUUUAUUUGGAGGAAUUUAUGCAACCCGUGUGGCUAAUUUUCUUAAUAUAGCCCCACGAGAGGGGGGUAUGAUUUUACCUCCUGUUUAUUUGGAUAAAUAA
rnacentral:rRNA from 1 species